GAUAGUGUGGCCGAGUGGUCUAUGGCGCUGGUUUUGGGCACCAGUCUCUUCGGAGGCAAAGGUUCGAAUCCCUUCACUGUGA
rfam:Daphnia pulex DAPPTscaffold_1281_Cont12425, whole genome shotgun sequence.